ensembl:lncRNA
AAUAAAGUCCCCACCCAAAUAUUCUGAUGACUCGAGUCACAGUCUGCCCAAGUAGCUCUUUUCACGCAUUUUUUUUCUGAAAAAGUCUUUGGUUUCUGAGUCAUCAACAUCCUUGGUGGUUAUUUUCCCAGCUCCUAUCUUUCCUUUGGUUAUCUUUAAGCCAUUCUCUGUAUCAGAAAUAUUGGUAGCCUCCCUGUCCGAGGCAGCCCACUGGAUAGCACCCCAAAAUUAUCUUUAUCAAAACCCACAAUUAGAGGAGGACCAUUUUUAUUCAAACAGAGCUGGAAUUUGCCAGGAUUAAAUACCUUGUAUUGAAGUCAAUGGCAAUCAUGAAUUAUGGAUUCUUUGCAAAGAGGGUGGAAAAAUUAUCUCCUGGAACUGCUUCCAAAGUCGGGCUAAACUGAUGACAAACUCGAUAUCGACCAGUCAUAUUUUAAAAGUCUUUAAAAUUUACCAGCACUUCUGAUUACAAGGAAUUUAUUAGAUCAAAUGCAGCAAAUCAGGAUGAAAUAGAUGAGGUGGCUCUUACUGUUUCGAGCUUGAUACUGGUGACAGGAUAUGGCAAUGAGCUUUAGUGUCUGUACCUCAUUAAUCACCCGGAAUUCACGUCAUUCAGUGAGGCUACCGUGGGCUUCUGAAUCAGAAUCAUACAGAAUCUGCGUCAUUAUAGACGAUCCAAACGGUGACAUUCUGUUUGUCCAUACAAGCGUGAACAUGCAUCAGAAUUAGGAACCCAGGAAAAAGCCUGAUCGUGGAAGAUCCUUUGCCUUCCAGAGAUGGAGACUUCUCCCCGGCAACACUGGG